GACGAACGCUGGCGGCGUGCUUAGCACAUGCAAGUCGAACGGAAAGGCCCUGCUUUUGUGGGGUGCUCGAGUGGCGAACGGGUGAGUAACACGUGAGUAACCUGCCCUUGACUUUGGGAUAACUUCAGGAAACUGGGGCUAAUACCGGAUAGGAGCUCCUGCUGCAUGGUGGGGGUUGGAAAGUUUCGGCGGUUGGGGAUGGACUCGCGGCUUAUCAGCUUGUUGGUGGGGUAGUGGCUUACCAAGGCUUUGACGGGUAGCCGGCCUGAGAGGGUGACCGGCCACAUUGGGACUGAGAUACGGCCCAGACUCCUACGGGAGGCAGCAGUGGGGAAUAUUGCACAAUGGGCGGAAGCCUGAUGCAGCAACGCCGCGUGCGGGAUGACGGCCUUCGGGUUGUAUACCGCUUUCGCCUGUGACGAAGCGUGAGUGACGGUAAUGGGUAAAGAAGCACCGGCUAACUACGUG
rnacentral:rRNA from 1 species